UACGAAGGGGGCUAGCGUUGUUCGGAGUUACUGGGCGUAAAGGGCGCGUAGGCGGCGCACCAAGUCAGGCGUGAAAGCCCUGGGCUCAACCCGGGAAUUGCGCUUGAGACUGGUGUGCUUGAGUACGGGAGAGGAUAGUGGAAUUCCCAGUGUAGAGGUGAAAUUCGUAGAUAUUGGGAAGAACACCGGUGGCGAAGGCGGCUAUCUGGACCGUAACUGACGCUGAGGCGCGAAAGCGUGGGGAG
rnacentral:rRNA from 1 species